ACGUGGGUGACUGGAGUUCCUGAUGAGGAAGUGAUAAAGAGAGAGCGAGCUAGGAGGGGCCGCCAUGCAGCAGCAAGCUGCACAUGCACAACUGGAGUUCAAAGAAAGACAGAUGACAUCGAGGCAAGACCUAGAAGCCAGCCAGGAAAGCAGAGGAACAGCGCGCUGGGUAAAGGAGCAAAGCAAACCAAACAAAACAAGACUGGAGAGUGAAUACACAGCUCUCAGCUCAAAGGGGAUCAGGAAACUCUGAGUACAGAUGUUGACGGAAGUUGACCUUCGACCAAAACCUGUGCAUUCAGAAAGUACCGACCACAGCUUCCUCCCUGCAGAUGACUGCAGCCCGACACUGCUCCCUCACAGAGACCACCUAUGGAGAUAAGCUGAGCCGUCUCUUCAUCCGUGCUGUAUAUCAUAAACACAUUGAGC
rnacentral:lncRNA from 1 species